GCCAGCAGCCAUAUCACCCUGCAACUCACAACUCGCAGCCCACUGAAGCUAAGUAGGUGUGAUGCCUGGUCAGUACCUGGAUGGGAGACCUCCUGGGAAAAACUAAGUUGCUGCUGGAA
rnacentral:rRNA from 1 species